rnacentral:lncRNA from 1 species
AUACACGGGUCAUAACCACAGGGUUGACACUACUAAAUUCAACCAUUGUCACAUUGUUCCCUAUUGUAGUAUUUUAAUCAGUAUGACUUUCUAAGAUGACAAUACGAAUACUAAAAAUUUGGACUUAAAUUAAGGCGUAUAGGUACAGUUUUCAAUUUGUUAGCCGGUAUGACGCAAAACAGCGAAUCAAAGAUCAAAUAACUAAUAUAGGACAAUGCUGUUGAUUAAAAAAUACUUCAUUCCAG